GACAGUACAGUGGCGGAGUCUAGGUUUGUUUCUGAGAUUAAAGACCAGUGUCCCCAGCACUCAUCAUGAUGUCAUCACGGCUAAAUGAGCCACACUGGUGCGCCUGGAGACACAAGGACAAGGCAAAGAGUGUCGCUGUCUAAAAAUUGCAUAAUUUCCACCAAAACGAGCAAACGCGAUGUCUCCAGUAAAGUCACAUGGAGCGGGGCGUCAUAUGUUGUCUGGCUCCCGGUGAAACAGCCAGACCUCACGUCCUCUGGCUGCGAUCUCCAGCAUACUAAAAACCAGACCGAGGGGGGUGGGGGGUUACGUCAACCUUAACAUCUCUACAAUAGACUACCGUGCGUUAAUGCAAACUUCAACACCUUGCAGAGCAAUCAGCAAAUCAACACGGCGCUGACGUCAACGCAGCCAGUCAGCCAGACGAGCAGCAGGCAGGCGGGCAGCCGGCGCGGCGCUCCAGCCCGUACAAACGCUAAGAAAGUGAGACACCUAGGGGGCUGUCUCAUGUCAAACGGCUGUGUUACAGUAUGGCAGUGAAAGGUGAGCGACACUGCUCUCCCUCCAGCUGUUUGGAUGAAACAUACAGCCUACAGUUGUUUUCAAACUCCAGCCAGGGGCAGACUUAAUGGUUCAGCGGCCCUACAGGAAAAGUCAAGUAUGGGUACUCCUGAAGCCCCCCCUACAACUCUUUCAACCCUUUCAAUGAAUUUAUAAAUAUAAGUGCACAGCAGAGGAAAGCAGUGCACAGCACAGGUGACUAUAAAGCCAAGCUGGGGAAAUAAUGCAGCUGAUCCUACCUCCAAUGGAAGAUAAAUUCAGAAUGUGAUUAUAAAAAAGAACAUGUCCUGUGUAAUUUCAU